AGGAAUGUUUUCCUGCGGACUCUAUCGAGGCGCACAGACCAUGGGGAUUCUGUCUGCAGUGACAGCCGUAACAUUUGCCAGAGCCCCGGACGGCUGCAGAAAUGGCAUUGCCCACCCUGCAAGUGAGAAGGUAACGUUUAUUUUUGUAUUUUUUUCUCUCUCUCCCAUAUACAGACUGUAGAAAGACCACCAAGUGCGGAUCAUUUUUUUUCUCCCAACCAUGAUGUACAAUUCACAUUUGUUAAUCAAAAAAGAGUGCCCGAGGUCAUCCACCUAGGUUUUUUUUUUUUUUUCUUAAACAGGAAACGGGUUUCAGAUGUUUAUAUGUUAAAAAGUAAGGCUACUAAUCUGUUUAGCCGUUUACCAGGGCCUGGCUAACCCACGCUUACCUUUCAGUGCUCAGACCUCAGAGAAGGACAUUAAGUUUUAUUCUAUUCUUAGUUAGAAUUAAAAAAAAAAAUCUUAGAAUCAUCACCUGCUUCUUUUGGUUAAGCUCCCGUGGCGGUUAAAAUAAAUUAAUCCAGCCGUUGCGUGUGAAGGCACUGCUGUCCCCGCAGUUUGCAGCAGGGCCCAGUGGGCCCCACGGUACUUUGGUACUUUGGUGCGUCUGUACCCACAAGCAGACCUGCUGGGCCGUCCCAUUUAAACUAAGAAAAGAGGUGCACAUGCGUGCACUGUUGAUAAGGCUGCAGCAAAGGCAAGAACUCGUUUAAACACAGUUUUUAUCAGAUCAGCUGGAUGCUUUCCGUGGAGCUUCUAAAUAUCAAGUCGGCACAAGGUGACAGAGCUACUGCUUCCCGGGAGUCCCAGCCCUUGGGAGGGCUUCAUCUGAUGCUUGGAAAUAAAAAUCUUUGUUUUAUAGUGGGGAUUUUUUUCCCUUGCCCCCGGGCCAUCACCGCCGGUUCCCAUUUAGCACGGCAAAUCCAUGAUACUUGUGUGUGUAUAUUUAUAGUGUAUUUAUAGUCCAAGGAUAAAGGAGUACCAGCCAGGGAGAUUUUAAUGCUUUUAUAGUGAAUUUGUUAGCAUUAAAAUUGUUGGCUUAAAAGACUCCUUUAAACACAGAAUUCAAUGCAAAGCAAUCAUAUCAUUUGCUUAAACGCGAUCGAAAUAGCCUCUGCGUUCUAACCCGCUGGUGUUUCACCAAAUGCUUUUUGUCUGUGAAUUUUGCAAGGGACACAGAAGACCAUCUUUGGAAAUUUUUCAUCAAGGAAAGAGAGCCAGGCACAACAAAUGAGCUCUUAAAAUCAGCCCAGUAUUAUUGGGAUCAGCAAAAAAAAAUGUCAUUUGUAAAAAUGAAAACAUGGAUGAGACUCCCAAACAUAUGUGUAGUUCAAUGAGGCAAAAAUACAUUUAUUUGCUCUUUCAUCAGAGGGUCAGAAGUGGCUGGAGAAAGAUCGGUACAAGAGUGAAAAUGGAUCUGCAGUAGUGUCCAAACUCCUCCGCACGAGGAGGAAGGGGAAGGGGAAAACAGAUUUUGAAAUAUGUUUUUUGGGGGCUGGGGAUGUGGCUCAAGCGGUAGCACGCUCGUCUGGCAUGCGUGUGGCCUGGGUUCGAUCCUCAGCACCACAUACCAACAAAGAUGUUGUGUCUGCCAAUAACUAACUAAAUAAAUAAAUAUGUUUAAAAAAAGAAAUAUGUUUUUUGGUUUUUUUUUUUCUGAAUAGACUAUUUUUUAUUUCUUGGGGCAUGCUUUAAGCUGGGGGUGGGAUUCCGAGGGCCGCCUCUCCUACCUCAGGUGUCAGAGACUCCCAGAAAAAGAAGAGUGACCAAAACUUCAGAAGAGCAAAGUGAUGGGAAGUGGCCCCUCCAGUGGGAGCCCCCAGAGCUCCUUCACGCGGAGGCCGCUGGCUGGACAGGGCAAGCCCUGGGGCAGCACAGCGGGGAGGCGGGCUCUGCCUCUACCCCAGGCGAAGUGGGUCCAAGACACUGACUGGGUGGGAACAGCCAUGACAUCAGUGGUCGCCGAUGUCCCCCGGGCUGGUGCUGGGGGCCUGGCUGGAGCGCCUGCUGGAUCUGCCUGUCCCCCAAGGGGAAUCUCAGAAAGGAACCUGCUUUGGGCUUUUUUAAUCUUUCUGACCCCCAGAACAUUAAUAAAUAGAAAAAUGCCGCGAUCUACAACU
rnacentral:lncRNA from 1 species